rnacentral:lncRNA from 12 species
AUGUGUGAUAUGUGUGUUUUCGUACAGUUUGGUGGAAAUUCUUUAUUGCUGUCUGUCUUGCACACUGUUAGAUGUUCUCUGAAUCCAUUUUCUGUUCCUCUCUUUGUUGGUUUUUCCUGCUGUGUAGGUUUGACUGCAUUUCUCAGUACAGCUUUCAUUCUCUGCAUUUCAUUCUUUUCAGUUGCAUUUUCUGCUGCCAUUUCUAUUUGUUUUCUUGUCAUUUCUCAAGUUUCAGAGGAGACUGAAUGCACAAGAGCUGCAGGAGAUAUACAAAUAUUGCUAAUUAAACACGUAAUUCUGACUGAACAAACAGAGUAAUCAUUUUAUACAGAAAUACAGUCAAGUCCAAAAGUUUAAGACCACAUUUUUGACACUUUUAUGUUUUUUAUUAGUUUUAUUUGUUAUUUAUUAAACAAUAACAACCAAUAAUGAAAAGCAACCCAAAAAACAUUCAAAAUAUAAACAUAAAAUGAGUACAAAUUUGAAAAACGUAUUUACAGAUCACCAUUUAUUGCUCAGAUAUAAUUAAAGUGUAUGCGUCAUUAUUGAUUAUUCGAACUCCCAUAAAGAUUUAGAUUUUCUUGCUUAAUAAAGCAAACAAGAGGAUCUUUAAAACAUUCUCAAAUCAAACCGAAAGAGUGACAAGGACUUUAACUUUUCACUCAAAUUCAGUAAUAUAGUUUGUAAUUUUUUUUUUUUAACUUAAAUUAAUUAAGAGGAUCUUUAAAACAUUCUCAAAUCAAACCGAAAGAGUGACACAGACUUUAACUUUUCACUCGAAUUCUGUAAUAUAGUUUGUAAUUUUAUUUUUUUAACUUAAAUUAGAACUGUGUGAAAUUGUAAUCUGUAUGAGGAAAUACAAUUAAAUUUCAUAUAUUCGACAGCAUUCACACUCACCUAAAUCCACGUCUCAAAACUUGUUGACAGAGCUCUGUAAAUAUUUAUUUCUUUUUUAGUAUUCCUAUACUUCUAUUUGUUCAUUUAAAUCCAUGGAGAGGCAUCAAACCUGGUAUCCAGUCAUCACAACAAUGAUCAUCUGAUUCAACCAGGAAAUAUCAGAAAAUAUGUAGCAGUGACGCACAAAGUGACUGGAGAACAUUCAUGAACUGGUCGAACUGCUUUU